rnacentral:rRNA from 1 species
AGAGAGGCCCAAGUGAGAUUAGCUAGUUGGUGAGGUAAAGGCUCACCAAGGCGACGAUCUCUAGCUGUUCUGAGAGGAAGAUCAGCCACACUGGGACUGAGACACGGCCCAGACUCCUACGGGAGGCAGCAGUGGGGAAUAUUGCACAAUGGGGGAAACCCUGAUGCAGCCAUGCCGCGUGUGUGAAGAAGGCCUUCGGGUUGUAAAGCACUUUCAGUUGUGAGGAAAAGUGAGUAGUUAAUACCUGCUCACCGUGACGUUAGCAACAGAAGAAGCACCGGCUAACUCCGUGCCAGCAGCCGCGGUAAUACGGAGGGUGCGAGCGUUAAUCGGAAUUACUGGGCGUAAAGCGCACGCAGGCGGUUUGUUAAGCUAGAUGUGAAAGCCCCGGGCUCAACCUGGGACGGUCAUUUAGAACUGGCAGACUAGAGUCUUGGAGAGGGGAGUGGAAUUCCAGGUGUAGCGGUGAAAUGCGUAGAUAUCUGGAGGAACAUCAGUGGCGAAGGCGACUCCCUGGCCAAAGACUGACGCUCAUGUGCGAAAGUGUGGGUAGCGAACAGGAUUAGAUACCCUGGUAGUCCACACCGUAAACGCUGUCUACUAGCUGUUUGUGACUUUAAGUCGUGAGUAGCGAAGCUAACGCGAUAAGUAGACCGCCUGGGGAGUACGGCCGCAAGGUUAAAACUCAAAUGAAUUGACGGGGGCCCGCACAAGCGGUGGAGCAUGUGGUUUAAUUCGAUGCAACGCGAAGAACCUUACCUACACUUGACAUGCAGAGAACUUUC